rnacentral:sRNA from 1 species
UCCUCGCCGCCGCUUCCUCUCGAGAAGGCGCGGGGCGGGCUGUCCGGCCCGCAGGGCGGUCGAGCCCGCGGCGCCAUGGCUCACGUCGGCUCCCGCAAGCGCUCGAGGAGUCGCAGCCGGUCCCGGGGACGGGGGUCGGAAAAGAGAAAGAAGAAGAGCAGGAAGGACGCCUCGAGGAACUGCUCGGCCUCCACAUCCCAAGGUCGCAAGGCCAGCACGGCCCCUGGGGCGGAGGGUGAGGACCACAGGCAUCGGGGAGAGGAGGCGCAGUUACUCCCCGGGGAAGUCGGGCGAGCAGUGGUCGGGGACGCUCAGUCAUGCCUCUGUGCAGCCGGGCCUGAGAUGUGAGGGCCAGGCGCCGCAGGAGCCAGGAAGGGGCUCCUCUGGGAAGCUCCAUCUCUGUUCUGGAAAGCUCCUCAGGAAGCGCUCACCCUGUAGACGGUCUGUGCCUGCCCCAGGCCAGAGCAGGGGACGAAGGUUUACCUCUUCCCCUCCUGGCCUUCCAGCCUCACCUUCUCCCUGCAUCACAGAGAGAAGCAAGCAGAAGGCCCGGAGGAGACCAAGAUCCAGCUCCUCCUCCUCUUCUUCCAGUUCUCCUAGCUCCUCUUCUUCCUCCUCGUCCUCCUCCUCUUCCUCCAGUGAUGGCCGGAAGAAGCGGGGGAAGUAUAAGGACAAGAGGAGGAAGAAGAAGAAGAAGAGGAAGAAGCUGAAGAAGAAGAGCAAGGAGAAGGCGGAAGCACAGCAGGUGGAGGCUCUGCCGGGCCCCUCGCUGGACCAGUGGCACCGAUCAGCUGGGGAGGAAGAGGAUGGCCCAGGUAUUGUGCUGCCCAGCACCUGGGAGGGAGAAGGUCGCUUCCCAAGGCCUGGCCACCACCUCCGUCUUCCCUUCCAGUCCUGACGGAUGAGCAGAAGUCCCGAAUCCAGGCCAUGAAGCCCAUGACCAAGGAGGAGUGGGAUGCCCGGCAGAGCAUCAUCCGCAAGGUGGUGGACCCCGAGACGGGGCGCACCAGGUGGGGAGCUUUCGGCCUGACUUACACCACAGGAUCUGGGAGUGUUGGCUGAAGAUGUGUGCUCUCGGGAGGAGUGGGGCCGGGCGGGGUUCCUGGUGCCUGAAAAAGGCCAAAUGUGGGCAAAAAUAAGGUCACUUGGAGUAAGUAGUUGCAGGGGUGGAAGGGCCUGGAGGAGGCUCUUGAAAGGGCUGUUGUUGGCGGGGCUGAGGCUGGCAAGGCAGAGCCCAGCUCCACUGCCUUCAUCAGGGAGAGUGGGUGAGGCCCCAGGGUCUGUCCACUCAAGGCUGCGGGGCGGGAGCCCUGGGACCCCUCUGCCGGCUGCUUGUGGUUCUGCUCCUCUGGCAUUAGGGGACCUGCCUAUUCCUUGCUGAACGGAGACCCUCCCACCCCCAGGCUUAUUAAGGGAGAUGGCGAGGUCCUAGAGGAAAUCGUAACCAAAGAACGACACAGAGAGAUCAACAAGCAAGCCACCCGAGGGGACGGCCUGGCCUUCCAGAUGCGAGCUGGGUUGCUUCCCUGAGGGCCCCCGCUGGCCAAGGCCUGUGGACGGCGCUGGCGGCCCAGCCUGGGCAGGUUUCAGGGUGCCAGUGGGAAGCCUGAUGGGUGCUGGUGGCCUUUCCCCCAUGGAUUGGUCUCUGGCCCAGCCCAGUCUCUUCUUAGGGGCAGGGGGUGGAGGUUGGGGUCACCGGCCUGCUUGGCACCCCCAUCUGAAAGAGCAGCACUUCUCAGCUAUUAAAGGCCCCCUGGAUA